GGCCCUCGGUCAUGAGAGAGUGCUGGAACAGCUCAGCUCAGAGCGAUAUGGUAUUGUCCGCUUUGGGAACCGUGGGCGCUUUGGCUCGCACGGUGGCGGACCCACCUGCAGGCGCGUGGCUGCUGGACAGGUGUCCCUCACGGUUUUGUCCCCCCGUAGGGGGGCCCUCCUACCUCCAGCCCGUGGGCCUUCGGUGAGAAGAGGUGUUUACACCCCCCCAUUUAAGGCACAGACCUUUCCGCUGAUUAUCCGAUGUGGGACUAAACUGGGAACCCCAUCCCACAACACAGCCCCCCAGCGGGAAGGUCUGUGCGUGGCCGGGGCCCUUCCUCUAGCGCCAUCUGAUGUGGG
rnacentral:lncRNA from 1 species